rnacentral:miRNA from 1 species
UCUUUGGUUUUCUAGCUGUAUG